rnacentral:rRNA from 1 species
UACGUAGGUGGCGAGCGUUGUCCGGAUUUACUGGGCGUAAAGGGAGCGUAGGCGGACUUUUAAGUGAGAUGUGAAAUACUCGGGCCCAACUUGAGUGCUGCAUUUCAAACUGGAAGUCUAGAGUGCAGGAGAGGAGAAUGGAAUUCCUAGUGUAGCGGUGAGAUGCGUAGAGAUUAGGAAGAACACCAGUGGCGAAGGCGAUUCUCUGGACUGUAACUGACGCUGAGGCUCGAAAGCGUGGGGAGCAAACAGG